AGUGGAAGCGUCUGGAAAGGCGUGCGAUACAGGGUGACAGCCCCGUACACAAAAAUGCACAUAUUGUGAGCUUGAUGAGUAGGGCGGGACACGUGGUAUCCUGUCUGAAUAUGGGGGGACCAUCCUCCAAGGCUAAAUACUCCUGACUGACCGAUAGUGAACCAGUACCGUGAGGGAAAGGCGAAAAGAACCCCGGCGAGGGGAGUGAAAAAGAACCUGAAACCGUGUACGUACAAGCAGUGGGAGCACGCUUAGGCGUGUGACUGCGUACCUUUUGUAUAAUGGGUCAGCGACUUAUAUUCUGUAGCAAGGUUAACCGAAUAGGGGAGCCGAAGGGAAACCGAGUCUUAACUGGGCGUUAAGUUGCAGGGUAUAGACCCGAAACCCGGUGAUCUAGCCAUGGGCAGGUUGAAGGUUGGGUAACACUAACUGGAGGACCGAACCGACUAAUGUUGAAAAAUUAGCGGAUGACUUGUGGCUGGGGGUGAAAGGCCAAUCAAACCGGGAGAUAGCUGGUUCUCCCCGAAAGCUAUUUAGGUAGCGCCUCGUGAAUUCAUCUCCGGGGGUAGAGCACUGUUUCGGCAAGGGGGUCAUCCCGACUUACCAACCCGAUGCAAACUGCGAAUACCGGAGAAUGUUAUCACGGGAGACACACGGCGGGUGCUAACGUCCGUCGUGAAGAGGGAAACAACCCAGACCGCCAGCUAAGGUCCCAAAGUCAUGGUUAAGUGGGAAACGAUGUGGGAAGGCCCAGACAGCCAGGAUGUUGGCUUAGAAGCAGCCAUCAUUUAAAGAAAGCGUAAUAGCUCACUGGUCGAGUCGGCCUGCGCGGAAGAUGUAACGGGGCUAAACCAU
rnacentral:rRNA from 1 species